rnacentral:rRNA from 1 species
UACGAACCGGACAACCGUUAUUCGGAAUCACUGGGCUUACAGGGUGCGUAGGCGGUCUGGAGGGUGGGGUGUGAAAUCCCUCGGCUCAACCGAGGAAUUGCGCUCCAAACCGGCAGACUUGAGGGAGACAGAGGUGUGCGGAACUGAUGGUGGAGCGGUGAAAUGCGUUGAUAUCAUCAGGAACACCAGUGGCGAAAGCGGCACACUGGGUCUCUACUGACGCUGAGGCACGAAAGCCAGGGGAGCGAACGGG